UUCCCGGGCCUUGUACACACCGCCCGUCACACCACGAAAGUCGGCAAUACCCGAAGCCGGUGGCCUAACCCGCAAGGGAGGGAGCCGGCCACGGUCGGGUCAGCGACUGGGGUG
rnacentral:rRNA from 1 species